GAAGAAAUGGCUGAGCGGUUUAAAGCGGCAGAUUGUAAAUCUGUUGAGUUUUCUCAUCGAAGGUUCGAAUCCUUCUUUCUUUA
rnacentral:tRNA from 1 species